rnacentral:misc_RNA from 1 species
GUGAAGGAGGAGAGCGUGAUUGGAGAGGUAGGAGAGAGAACAAACCCAGGAAUGGAAACUACAACAAGAAUUCAAGAAAGCAAAAUCCCUUCUCCAAUAAACUCUCCUCACAGCAAUGGAAGCAACAAUGGGAUCCAAAUCCAUACCCCACCACUCACUCCAAUACCCAUCUCCAGAUCUGACGCUAACCCUUACCCAACAACCUUUGUCCAAGCAGA